rfam:Trichomonas vaginalis G3, whole genome shotgun sequence.
CAUCAAAAACCAAGUCUCUAAGCAAUGGAUGUCUUGGCUCCUCACACGAUGAAGAACGUGGCAUAAUGUGUUAAGUAACCGGAGUUGCAAACAUCAUGACAGGUUAAUCUUUGAAUGCAAAUUGCGCUAAACUCGAUCUCGGUCGAGAAGCAUGGGUGUGACAGUACUACAUCUUUUAUAAUAAUUCUUAUUCUAAGCGAAUAAGUAAAUAAUAUAUAAGACAAACAACACGUAGUCUGCCAUACGCAGGAAGACCCGCUGAACUGAAGCAUCUCAUUAAGCGGAGGAAAAGAAACUAACUAGGAUUCCCUUAGUAAAGGCGAUCGAAAAGGGGAACAGCCCAACGUCUUAAUCCCGCAAGGGAAAUGUAGUCGGUUCACCUAUUGCACUGG